rnacentral:lncRNA from 1 species
AUGGAUAAAGUGGGGAAAAUGUGGAAUAACUUCAAGUACAGGUGUCAGAAUCUCUUCGGUCAUGAAGGAGGAAGCUGUAGUGAAAAUGUUAACAUGAACUCCGACAAAUGUCUGUCUGUCAAAGAGAAAAACAUCAGCAUAGGAGACUCAACUCCUCAGCACCAAAACCGUCCCUUAAGAGAAGAUGUUGCCUUACAACUGGGAUUAAGCCCUUCAAAUAAUUCUUCAAAGAGAAAUCAAAAUUGUGCCACCGAAAUUCCUCAAAUUGUUGAAAUAAGCAUCGAAAAGGAUAAUGAUUCUUGUGUUACCCCAGGAACAAGAGUUGCACGAAGAGAUUCCUACUCUCGACAUGCUCCAUGGGGUGCGAGGAAAAAACAUUCCUGUUCUACUAAGACCUAGAGUUCAUUGGAUACUGAUCAAAUGUUUGUUAGAACUCGAAGUGGACUUCAAAGGAGAGAGAGGCGCUAUGGUGUAAGUUCUGUACACGACAUGGACAGUGUGUCCAGCAGAACUGUAGGAAGUCGCUCUCUGAGAAAGACGUUGCAGGAUACUGUGGGCUUGUGUUUUCCCAUGAGAACUUACAGCAAGCAGUCAAAGCCUCUCUCUUCCAAUAAAAGAAAAAUCCAUCUUUCUGAAUUAAUGCUUGAGAAAUGCCCUUUUCCUGCUGGCUCAGAUUUAGCCCAAAAAUGGCAUUUGAUUAAACAGCAUACAGCUCCUGUGAGCCCACAUUCAACAUUUUUUGAUACACUUGAUCCAUCUUUGGUUUCUACAGAAGACGAAGAAGUUAGGCUUAGAAAGACAAGACGGCUUAGUAUUGAAGAAGGGGUUGAUCCCCCGCCCAGUGCACAAGUACAUACAUUUGAAGCUACUGCACAGGUUAAUCCAUUAUAUAAACUGGGACCAAAGUUAGCUCCCGGAAUGACUGAAAUAAGUGGGGACAGUUCUGCAAUUCCACAAGUUAAUUGUGACUCGGAAGAGGAUACAACCACCCUGUGUUUGCAAUCACGGAGGUAGAAGCAGCGUCAGAUAUCUGGAGACAGCCAUACCCAUGUUAGCAGACAAGGAGCUUGGAAAGUCCACACACAGAUUGAUUACAUAUAGGUCUCGUGCCUGAUUUGCUUCAAAUUACAGGGAAUCCCUGUUACUGGGGAGUGGUGGACCGUUAUGAAGCAGAAGCCCUUCUUGAAGGGAAACCUGAAGGCACGUUUUUGCUCAGGGACUCUGCACAAGAGGACUACCGGAAACUCUGUGAGUUUCCGCCUCUACAAUAGAUCCCUGCAUGCCCGAGUUGAGCAGUGGAAUCACAACUUUAGUUUCGAUGCCAUGACCCGUGUAUAUUUCAUUCCUCCACGGUAACUGGACUUUUAGAACAUUAUAAAGAUCUCAGUUAGUGCAUGUUUUUUUGAACCAUUGCUUGCUAUAUCACUAAAUAGGACUUUUCCUUUUAGCCUGCGGUAUAUCUGUCGCACAGUAAUCUGCAGAUGCACUACGUAUGAUGGAAUUGAUGGGCUCCCUCUACCCUCAAUGUUACAGGACUUUUUAAAAAAGUAUCAUUAUAGAACGGGUGCGGUGGCUC